GUCGGGGGUGGGCGAAAGAAAGGGGAAGGGAGCGAUAGGGGUAGUCGGCGAAGGGGUGCAUGGUGCGCGCGCGCUUUGCAGCGCGACACGGAGGGACACGAUUCGCGAGAGAGAGAGGGCGCUCUCCCCCGAAGUUUUGCGACGAGUCUCUCCAAGAGGGAUCCUCGGGUACGUCCGUGUAGUACAGGAGCUAGCCGAUAACGAGCUAGCGCGCAGUGCCUGGUGUCGGCGCGGAUCGCGCUUCCGCGGUGUUUCUUCUUUCCUCUUCUUCUUCGUACGUCGUGUCGACACACGCGCGCGUGCUCGACCGCGAGCGAGCGAGCGAGCGAGCGAACGAGCAAGCGAGCGAACGAGCGAGCGAAGAGUGGAACCACCGCCGAAGGAUCACUGUGACACCAAUGUCGCUGCGUCGAGUUCGAGUCGCUGUGUGUUCAUCUCCCGUCGUCGCGAUCCCGACGCGAUUCGAGUGAGUGCGCCUUCUCCGUAUUUCCAUUAGUGACGUUCGGGUCGGGUUGGUUGAUCGGUUACCGACACGCAGUGACCUCGGGAUGCGUCCAUGAGGUCUCGGGUGCGGCGAUUUCUGAAUAGAUUGCCGCUGUUGUUCGUGUCAUUGUCACCACUGUCGCCGUUGCCGUUGCCGUCGUCGUCGUCGUCGUCGUCGUCGUUGAUAUCGUCGUCGUCGUCGUCGUUAUCGUCGUGGUGGUGCGUAUUGCCGUGCCAUCACCGGCCGUGAUCAUCGGCGACGACAGGCAGCAGCAAACGGUGCAAGGAAAA
rnacentral:lncRNA from 13 species